UACGUAGGGGGCAAGCGUUGUCCGGAUUCAUUGGGCGUAAAGAGCGUGUAGGCGGUCCGGUAAGUCAGCUGUGAAAGUCAAGGGCUCAACCCUUGAAAGCCGGUUGAUACUGUCGGGCUAGAGUCCGGAAGAGGCGAGUGGAAUUCCCGGUGUAGCGGUGAAAUGCGCAGAUAUCGGGAGGAACACCAAUGGCGAAGGCAGCUCGCUGGGACGGUACUGACGCUGAGACGCGAAAGCGUGGGGAGCAAACAGG
rnacentral:rRNA from 1 species